GGUCUGUGUGUGUGCGCCGCCACGCGCCGGAAUAACGCGGGGCGCGGCGGGCGAAGCGUGAGGAUUGCGGCCCUUUUGUUUCUAUCCUUCUUUUGAUAUGGGAUAAACCUAGAUACCUGUAUCUAUUUUAAGGUACUAUUCGAAUUUUCACCGGCUACCUCCGUGCCUUCUUCUCUAUUAUUCAUUUAAUUUUCUCUUUC
rnacentral:rRNA from 1 species